CUGAGUCCUGCAUUCUGAAUAUUGCCUCAACUCUGGUGACUUUCAAGUCUAUCAGGUAAAGGGGUGAGAAGAAAUCAGCGACAAUACCUACUAUUAAAAGAAAUGCGAUCUGGCUGCACAAAUGAGAGAGACAAACCCAGCAACCUGGUUACUCCUGGAGAUACAUGAGAGAGCCAUGAUUUCCAGAAUGGAGGUGGAAAGGGAAACAGACCAUAUACCACAGUUCCUGGAGAUGAAGAUUUCUGUUUGUCAGAGGGGACUGGGACGGAAAACUAUGCAGUGUGUGGAGGAGCUGAUUCUAUGGAAGCUGUUGUGUGACCCUGAGAUUGCACGUGCCUAUUAGGAUGCCAAAUAAUUCUUAGCUAUAGAUGUGCAAAUUCUAUCCUAUCUUGUAGAGGUGCAAUUGAGUUCUCUUCCCCACGGUGGAAAAAAGCUAGUUUUGCCUCCUCUUGCACAUUCAUUUCAAUAUUCCUGAUCUAUAAAUGUGUCUGUUUUUCAAUUUCCUCCCUUGAACCAGAUAUAACAUCUGCCUGGCUCCUUCUUUAUGAGCAAAAUAAAAUCUUUAACAUGUGUUCAUUUUAUAUCCUUAUGAGUCAUGAUUUUACCUUUUUUGGGGGGGAAAAUUAUCUUUUAACGCUACCUUUUUCUCACUCAUAGUUUCUCAUCCUUCAUUUCGCUUUCUCAGUUCUUUCCUCUCUCUUCAUGUCUAAUGUGUUGAAUUCUCUGCAAACCCAUGGCUAGCCCAGCUGAGGUCAGUGUCAUUUUUACACAUAGAUCAUUGCAACGGUGUCCUAAUUGGUAUCCUGUCUCAAAACUUGAGCCCCCACCAUUUCUACUGUACAGACUCUGAGCUCCUCAAACAAUAAGUUCUGUCCUAUCCCAUUCCUACUAGAGCUCCCCAGGGGUUCGUAUCACCCUUAGACCACUGGUCCUGUUAAGAAAGUUGAGCCUUCAAGACGCACUGUGAGCUGGGGUUCCGCUGCAAUUCUCAGGAGGAGUUUCCCUUUCCUUCACCUUCUACCCAAAGGUCAAUCACAAUUCACUUCCUUCAAUAUCCCUCAAUAUCUCACUCACUCCUGGGCCUUCGCUCAAGUCUUCCCCUUCUUCCCUGGGCUAGCUCUCAGGUACCUGCUGCAUCUCAGCUCACAUGUCACUUUCCUUGGGAGGCCUUCUCUAUUAUUGGUCCUGUUCUUUCCAGCUCUGUCCUCCAGAGGACUGUAAUCCCCAUGGUGAGAGGACUGUGUCCUUGACUCUCAUAAUCACCACUGCUAGUGCAGAACUCCAGUGAGCAUUU